rnacentral:piRNA from 1 species
UCAGAAAACUUUUUAGUCAUG